rnacentral:rRNA from 1 species
CCUACGGGAGGCAGCAGUGGGGAAUCUUGCGCAAUGGCCGCAAGGCUGACGCAGCGACGCCGCGUGCGGGAGGACGGUCUUCGGAUCGUAAACCGCUGUUGCCCGGGACGAAAAGGUCUUUCGAGACCGUUGACGGUACCGGGUGAGGAAGCACCGGCUAACUCCGUGCCAGCAGCCGCGGUAAUACGGAGGGUGCGAGCGUUGUCCGGAAUCACUGGGCGUAAAGGGCGCGUAGGCGGCGCGACAAGGCGGCGGUGAAAGCCCGGGGCUCAACCCCGGGUCGGCCGUGGCGACUGUCGCGCUGGAGCACAGUAGAGGCGGGUGGAAUUCCGGGUGUAGCGGUGGAAUGCGUAGAGAUCCGGAAGAACACCGGUGGCGAAGGCGGCCCGCUGGGCUGUGGCUGACGCUGAGGCGCGACAGCGUGGGGAGCAAACAGGAUU